CGGGCCCCGGCGUUAUCCAGCCCCGCCGGCCCAGCAGCGCUUUCCCCGGGAAGAAGCUCCUGUAGGAAAGGGCAGGAAGCUAACUUCUAAACAGAGAGCAGCUUCUGGCACUCCUUAGGAAGUCAAUGAAGUCUCCAACAGCCACCAGCUGUUGGAAACAGAUGCCAUCUGGAGAAAAAACAUUAUAAUCUCACAUGGCAAACCUAGCAGAUUUCAUCCAGUA